rnacentral:rRNA from 1 species
AGUGAACGCUGGCGGUAGGCCUAACACAUGCAAGUCGAACGGCAGCACAGGAGAGCUUGCUCUCUGGGUGGCGAGUGGCGGACGGGUGAGGAAUACAUCGGAAUCUACUCUGUCGUGGGGGAUAACGUAGGGAAACUUACGCUAAUACCGCAUACGACCUACGGGUGAAAGCAGGGGACCUUCGGGCCUUGCGCGAUUGAAUGAGCCGAUGUCGGAUUAGCUAGUUGGCGGGGUAAGGGCCCACCAAGGCGACGAUCCGUAGCUGGUCUAAGAGGAUGAUCAGCCACACUGGAACUGAGACACGGUCCAGACUCCUACGGGAGGCAGCAGUGGGAAUAUUGGACAAUGGGCGCAAGCCUGAUUCAGCCAUACCGCGUGGGUGAAGAAGGCCUUCGGGUUGUAAAGCCCUUUUGUUGGGAAAGAAAUCCAGCUGGCUAAUACCCGGUUGGGAUGACGGUACCCAAAGAAUAAGCACCGGCUAACUUCGUGCCAGCAGCCGCAGUAA